GUGAGGAAUAUUGGACAAUGGAUGGAAAUCUGAUCCAGCCAUGCCGCGUGCAGGAAGACGGCCCUAUGGGUUGUAAACUGCUUUUAUACGGGAGCAAUAAGGUCUAUGCAUAGAUUGAUGAGAGUACCGUAUGAAUAAGCAUCGGCUAACUCCGUGCCAGCAGCCGCGGUAAUACGGAGGAUGCGAGCGUUAUCCGGAUUUAUUGGGUUUAAAGGGUGCGUAGGCGGCUUUGUAAGUCAGCGGUGAAAUUUUGCAGCUUAACUGUAAAAGCGCCGUUGAUACUGUGAAGCUAGGAUUUGGUUGCUGUGGGCGGAAUGUGUGGUGUAGCGGUGAAAUGCAUAGAGAUCACACAGAAUAUCGAUUGCGAAGGCAGCUCACAAAGCCAAUAUUGACGCUGAGGCACGAAAGUGUGGGGAUCAAACAGGAUUAGAUACCCUUGUAGUCC
rnacentral:rRNA from 1 species